rnacentral:rRNA from 1 species
UACGUAGGGUGCAGGCGUUAAUCGGAAUUACUGGGCGUAAAGCGUGCGUAGGCGGUUUGCUAAGACAGGUGUGAAAUCCCCGGGCUUAACCUGGGAACUGCGCUUGUAACUGGCAAGCUGGAGUGUGGCAGAGGGUGGUGGAAUUCCACGUGUAGCAGUGAAAUGCGUAGAGAUGGGGAGGAACACCGAUGGCGAAGGCAGCCCCCUGGGCUAACACUGACGCUGAAGCACGAAAGCGUGGGGAGCAAACAGG